rnacentral:rRNA from 1 species
GUACGGCGAGUGAAGCGGCAAAAGCUCAAAUUUGAAAUCUGGUACCUUCGGUGCCCGAGUUGUAAUUUGGAGAGGGCAACUUUGGGGCCGUUCCUUGUCUAUGUUCCUUGGAACAGGACGUCAUAGAGGGUGAGAAUCCCGUGUGGCGAGGAGUGCGGUUCUUUGUAAAGUGCCUUCGAAGAGUCGAGUUGUUUGGGAAUGCAGCUCUAAGUGGGUGGUAAAUUCCAUCUAAAGCUAAAUAUUGGCGAGAGACCGAUAGCGAACAAGUACAGUGAUGGAAAGAUGAAAAGAACUUUGAAAAGAGAGUGAAAAAGUACGUGAAAUUGUUGAAAGGGAAGGGCAUUUGAUCAGACAUGGUGUUUUGUGCCCUCUGCUCCUUGUGGGUAGGGGAAUCUCGCAUUUCACUGGGCCAGCAUCAGUUUUGGUGGCAGGAUAAAUCCAUAGGAAUGUAGCUUGCCUCGGUAAGUAUUAUAGCCUGUGGGAAUACUGCCAGCUGGGACUGAGGACUGCGACGUAAGUCAAGGAUGCUGGCAUAAUGGUUAUAUGCCGCCCGUCUUGAA